rnacentral:rRNA from 1 species
UCCGACGGUACAGGGUGAUAGUCCCGUACACCAAAAUGCACAGGCUGUGAACUCGAUGAGUAGGGCGGGACACGUGGUAUCCUGUCUGAAUAUGGGGGGACCAUCCUCCAAGGCUAAAUACUCCUGACUGACCGAUAGUGAACCAGUACCGUGAGGGAAAGGCGAAAAGAACCCCGGCGAGGGGAGUGAAAAAGAACCUGAAACCGUGUACGUACAAGCAGUGGGAGCACCUUCGGGUGUGACUGCGUACCUUAUGUAUAAUGGGUCAGCGACUUAUAUUCUGUAGCAAGGUUAA